AGUGAACGCUGGCGGUAGGCCUAACACAUGCAAGUCGAACGGCAGCACAGUAAGAGCUUGCUCUUACGGGUGGCGAGUGGCGGACGGGUGAGGAAUACAUCGGAAUCUACUUUUUCGCGGGGGAUAACGUAGGGAAACUUACGCUAAUACCGCAUACGACCUACGGGUGAAAGCAGGGGAUCUUCGGACCUUGCGCGAUUGAAUGAGCCGAUGUCGGAUUAGCUAGUUGGCGGGGUAAAGGCCCACCAAGGCGACGAUCCGUAGCUGGUCUGAGAGGAUGAUCAGCCACACUGGAACUGAGACACGGUCCAGACUCCUACGGGAGGCAGCGGUGGGGAAUAUUGGACAAUGGGCGCAAGCCUGAUCCAGCCAUACCGCGUGGGUGAAGAAGGCCUUCGGGUUGUAAAGCCCUUUUGUUGGGAAAGAAAAGCAGCAGGUUAAUACCCCGCUGUUCUGACGGUACCCAAAGAAUAAGCACCGGCUAACUUCGUG
rnacentral:rRNA from 1 species